UAAAAAACAAAAAAAACAGAACGCUGCUUUUUAACGCAGCAGAGAAAUAGAAAAUUCAAGGGUUCCUUACAAACCACUAAUCCUUGAACUCAGAAUCGAUUGUUUGACUGGUAUCAAUUGGACUGGGACCUACGUAUUGGCUCGAGAAAUUUUGAGGAACCGGAUUUGCAGGCGAACAGGUUACGAGUUAGGACUUCCUUCCCUUCCAGUGAUAUUGGUGAGCUUCGCUUUUGUUCGUGGAGUAUUCUUAGAGUCAUUUUCAUUUAGCUAUUUCUUUGUUUAUCUAGAGAACUGACCAGGAAAUCUCAUGUCCUGAGCAGUGCGUCAGUUUAUCAGUAGAGGCUUCAUAGACAUAGUAAUUGGGUUGAGAUUCAUAUGUUAUUUUAUAAUAACUUAGCAAUAAUUCAGUAGUUACAAUGAAUAAAGUUUUGGAGUUGGUUUAUUUAAAUAUUUCAAUUAAUCAAGAGUAUUUGGUUAGAGUA